rnacentral:rRNA from 1 species
GAUGAACGCUGGCGGCGUGCCUAAUACAUGCAAGUCGAGCGAACAGAUGAGGAGCUUGCUCCUCUGACGUUAGCGGCGGACGGGUGGGUAACACGUGGAUAACCUACCUAUAAGACUGGGAUAACUUCGGGAAACCGGAGCUAAUACCGGAUAAUAUAUUGAACCGCAUGGUUCAAUAGUGAAAGACGGUUUUGCUGUCACUUAUAGAUGGAUCCGCGCCGCAUUAGCUAGUUGGUAAGGUAACGGCUUACCAAGGCAACGAUGCGUAGCCGACCUGAGAGAGUGAUCGGCCACACUGGAACUGAGACACGGUCCAGACGCCUACGGGAGGCAGCAGUAGGGAAUCUUCCGCAAUGGGCGAAAGCCUGACGGAGCAACGCCGCGUGAGUGAUGAAGGUCUUCGGAUCGUAAAACUCUGUUAUUAGGGAAGAACAAAUGUGUAAGUAACUAUGCACGUCUUGACGGUACCUAAUCAGAAAGCCACGGCUAACUACGUG